CGAUCCAGAAUUUCCCCAAAUCUUCUUCCUGCUACAUCCAAUCCCUAGCUCCAAUCUCCCAAAUCCCACAUGAUUUCCAACAUGGAAUCAGGGUAGGUUAACCGCGCGUGAUUUUUGACCCUGGUGGUGGCCGAUUGCGGCGCUGUGUCGCUGUGAUUUGGGGUUGUGUGUUUUUGUUGGUGCGCAUCCAUCUCUAUCGACGCGAGCUGCCGCUGCUCUCUCGAAGCGCUACGGAAGGAGUGCCGUGACCGGCGUACUGCUGCCUGUCGCAUCGCCGGCUUCCAUCUGGUGCGUACACCCCGUGCUGAAAUUGGAUGUGUGUCCUAGCCCGCCAGGAAGUUACUUGCUGAUGAUGCGUCGCUCAUGUCCAAGCAGUAAGCUGGCUUGCUAGGUGUCCGAUUGAUUGCAAGGAUAGCUGAUUAAUAGUGUGUGUUGCCUUUGGACAAUUGUGAUUAGUGCUACCGGAAAGUUCAUUUUGAUUGGUGGCCGGAUUAAAAUACUCUGCUCGUGCUGCCUGUGUGCAUUUGAGAGCAACUCGUAGAAGUACAUCUACUUGCCAUCAGCAUUUGUACUGGUGUAUUGUUGCUAGUGGAGUGCUGCAAACUCAAGUCCUGUGUGACUAGCUCUUGUUUGGGUUGCAGUGAGUCAUGGCAGAUUCAAGCAAGGACAAAGCAGGUGACUCUAGUGUGGAUAAGUUGUAUGAAAUUUUAAGCAAAGUAUUUGAGCAGCAGCAACAACAACUUAAAGUGGUUCCUGAAACUGUCAAGUAUGCACUUGAGCCUAAUCCAGUAAAGUUGGAUGGACCAGGCAAUUACAUUAGUUGGGCACGUCAUGCCCAGUUAAUUCUGAGUUCUCAUGGCUAUGAAGAAUUGCUUAGUGCUGAUGAAGAGAAAUUGAAAAGUGGCACUAGCACUAAACAGAUCAGUGAUAGAGUUUUGGUGUGGUUAUUAGGAAGCAUGGAACCACCGAUAUGAGAAGAAGUUGAGACUAUGACCACUGUAUUUGAAGUGUGGAAAGCUUUAGAGAAGCAAUUUUCAGGAAAAUCAAAUAAGAUGCAGACUACUCGCAUCAUGCAGGAGUUGACUAACUUGAAGCAAGGCUCAAAAUCAGUGACUGAGUAUGCAGGCGAGAUGAAGAGAUUGUAUAGGGAGUUGCAUUAUUACCAUCCUUUUCAACCCGUUGACAAGAAUGAUGUGGUUGUUCAUCAUACCUAGUUUGAACCAUUUGUGGGCAAGCUCUUCCUUGAUGGCCUAAAUCAGGAGUUUGAUCUCCGCCGCCAGCUAAUAUUCUCCAAAACUGAAUGGCUAAGCCUUGAUGAUAUCAUUUCCAAUGUGAUUGAGGAGGAGACUCGUCUUUCUCAACCCAAUGAUCAUGUUCAAGAAAAAUCAGAUGCACGUGCACCCUAACCAUACAAGCUCGUCGUGCUCCUAAGACCUUUGCUAAAAUAGGUAAAAGCAAACUUUUUUUCAACCAUUGCAAAAGGCCUGGACACACAAAGGAUUCAUGCUUUGAGUUGCAUGGUUAUCCAACUUGGUGGGAAAAAGGAAAGUCUCAGACAGGGGGAGGUCAAGGAGCUCAUAAAAGACAGGCGAAUCUCACUACAUCCAAGAGGGAGCCAUCGGUAGUAGAUGUGCGAGCUCUUGAGGAUUUCACCUCCAAGAUUAGACUCUCAGAAGACUUGUCUUCCUUCUAGGAUUCCUCUAAAGCUGAAACUAGUUUGCAUGCCACUUCACACCAAGGAGCUAGAGAUAGGGAGACUGUUGGGGACUAGGACCGUGCAUGAUGGACUCUACUAUCUUGAUGAAGGGAGUGAUGGAGUUGCUUUUGCAUCAUGCGUGUCUCCUAGUCAAGAACUACUACUAUACCAUUGCAGGCUUGGGCAUCUCUCUUUUGCUGCAUUAUUUCGCAUUUACCCCUCUCUUUUCAAGUUGUGUCCUAGGGAGCUGCUUGUAUGUGAUGCUUGUGAAUUGGCUAAACAUACAAGAGGUUCAUAUCCUAGUAUAGGAUUAAGAAGUGCCAAACCAUUUGAAAUGAUUCACUCAGAUGUUUGGGGACCCUGUGAGGUUCGUUCGAUUUUUGGGAAUCGAUGGUUUGUAACUUUUA